ACUAUCAACUUUAACCAAACUUACACAUGCAAGUCUCUGCCCCCCCGUGAGAAUGCCCUACAGUUCCUCUUCCAGGAACAAGGAGCGGGUAUCAGGCGCACUAAUAGUAGCCCACAACGCCUUGCUCAGCCACACCCCCAAGGGACCACAGCAGUGAUAGAUAUUAAGCAAUAAGUGAAAACUUGACUUAGUUAAGGCUUAGAGGGCCGGUAAAACUCGUGCCAGCCACCGCGGUUAUACGAGAGGCCCAAGUUGAUAACCCAUCGGCGUAAAGCGUGGUUAAAAUAAAAUUAAUUAAAGCCAAAUGCUCCCUAAGCUGUUAUACGCACUCGGGAGUAAGAAGCCCCUCUACGAAAGUAGCUUUAUAAUGUUGAACCCACGAAAGCUAAGACACAAACUGGGAUUAGAUACCCCACUAUGCUUAGCCUUAAACUUAGAUAAGGAAUUACAUACCCUAUCCGCCCGGGAACUACGAGCAUGAGCUUAAAACCCAAAGGACUUGGCGGUGCUUAAUAACCCC
rnacentral:rRNA from 1 species